GAGUUGUGUGUCAUGGUGUCCUGGCCUUCAGGAGAUCCAUAUGGUCGCCUUUUUCGGAAAAUGUGUCCUACUCGAGAGCAAGGGAUGAUGAAGAGCUUCCCGCCACACAUCCAGAUCUGGCCAGAAGCAAAAACAGGUGCUAGCAGUUGCCUCACAUUGUUGUGAAACCAGUCCAAGAAUUUUCAAUAAAAUUAAUCUUUAUUCAAUAGGUGUUUAUGAAACUUGGCAAGAUAUUUUAUCAGAUACAAAUAUUCAAACAGAAGAAAGUCAGAAGGUGCACAUUGUUCUAUCUUUAUGAUUACAAGGAACUAAAUUCUGAAACAGUGCAUAUAAUGCACACUUACUACCAUGUGUCUGAAACUGCACUUACCAAACUGUGCUGCUUUAACAGAUCAAGAGACUUUAUCUUAGGCACCUAAGGACAGAAGUGCUUAUCUAAUUUCAGUUUCACAGGUAGUUGCUUAUACAAUGCAUAUAAUAUCUUAGAAAAUAGAUUUUUAAAAAUAAAAUAUAUAGAAUAACUCCAGAUUAAGAUUCAAAAGGCCUUAGCUCAUCUAAAUCUUGUCCAUGACUAUCUGAGCUACUUUAGAGUUAAGUUCAUUUUUGUGGGACUCGAUUACCUUAUCUUAAAAAAAAAAAAAAAAA